GAUGAACGCUAGCGGCAGGCCUAACACAUGCAAGUCGAGGGGCAGCACGGAAUGUAGCUUGCUACAUCUGGUGGCGACCGGCGCACGGGUGCGUAACGCGUAUGCAACCUACCUUGAACAGGGGGAUAAUUCGGAGAAAUCUGGUCUAAUACCCCAUAAUAUCGGAAUAGGCAUCUAUUCUGGUUAAAAACUCCGGUGGUUCAAGAUGGGCAUGCGUUGUAUUAGCUAGUUGGUGAGGUAACGGCUCACCAAGGCAACGAUACAUAGGGGGACUGAGAGGUUAACCCCCCACACUGGUACUGAGACACGGACCAGACUCCUACGGGAGGUAGCAGUGAGGAAUAUUGGUCAAUGGGCGAGAGCCUGAACCAGCCAAGUAGCGUGAGGGAUGACUGCCCUAUGGGUUGUAAACCUCUUUUAUAUGGGAAUAAUAGGUUCUACGUGUAGAAUUUUGCAUGUACCAUUAUGAAUAAGCAUCGGCUAACUCCGUGCCAGCCGCCGCGGUAACAC
rnacentral:rRNA from 1 species